GAUGAAGCACGUAGCGAAAUGCGAUAAGUAAUGUGAAUUGCAGAAUUCAGUGAAUCAUCGAAUCUUUGAACGCACAUUGCGCCCGCCAGUAUUCUGGCGGGCAUGCCUGUCUGAGCGUCAUUUCAACCCUCAUGCCCCUAGGGCGUGGUGUUGGGGAUCGGCCAAAGCCCGCGAGGGACGGCCGGCCCCUAAAUCUAGUGGCGGACCCGUCGUGGCCUCCUCUGCGAAGUAGUGAUAUUCCGCAUCGGAGAGCGAUGAGCCCCUGCCGUUAAACCCCCAACUUUCCAAGGUUGACCUCAGAUCAGGUAGGAAUACCCGCUGAACUUAAGCAUAUCAAUAAGCGGAGGA
rnacentral:misc_RNA from 1 species